AGUGCCCACAGAAAUGGGCUUGAGGAUGGACCACAAGAACUGGUCAAAGCACCUGCACUAGUAACAAGAGAUGACAAGCUGAGGCCUAGAAUGAUUUAGGCUGAGGAUACCAUCUGCCUGGGAGACCCCUCCUCUUGGAGUCUUGCUCCUCAAAAUGUGACUUAAGAGCCAGCAGCAUCGGCAUCCCUGGAAGUGUGCUACCAAUGCAUUCUUGGGCCUCAACUCAGACCUAUUCAAUCCAACUCUCCAGUUUAGCAAGAUCCCCAGGUGAUUUUUAUGCACAUUAAAGUUUGAAAGCAAUAGUCUAAAGAACCAGAAAUGCCAGACCAGGGGUCCAACAGGGAAACUGAAUGCCUAAGAUAUUCAUUCAUUCAUUUACCCAUUCAAUAAAUACUUAAUAAGCA
rnacentral:antisense_RNA from 1 species